GACGUAGGGUGCGAGCGUUGUCCGGAUUUAUUGGGCGUAAAGAGCUCGUAGGCGGCUCGUCGCGUCGACCGUGAAAACCCGCGGCUUAACUGCGGGCUUGCGGUUGAUACGGGCGGGCUAGAGUUCGGUAGGGGAGACUGGAAUUCCUGGUGUAGCGGUGAAAUGCGCAGAUAUCAGGAGGAACACCGGUGGCGAAGGCGGGUCCCUGGACAGAUCCUGACGCUGAGGCACGAAAGCUAGGGGAGCAAACAGG
rnacentral:rRNA from 1 species